UUAUUGAGGAAAAUGAUCCAGACUAUGACUCAAAGAAGGAUCAAAACCCAGCAGAGUGCAAGCAGCAGUGAAGCAGGAUGUAUGGCCUUGAGGAUAAUCUGCACUGUAAUAGCCUAAACACAACUAUUAUUUAC